rnacentral:lncRNA from 1 species
UAAAUUUAAUAUUGUUUCUUUUUCAAUGAAAAUAAAAUAUCAAAUAUAUAUCAUUUCAGAAUUACAUUGCGAGAUUGCGAGUUCCCUUUGAAUGACAAAACCAUAUCCUGAAGACAUAGAAACUACUGAUUCCUCCAUAGAAAAAACAAGAAACACACCAAUAGGAACUACCUCAGUAACUCAGAACCAACUAUGUUAAAUGUUAGUGAAGAUGCAGCGCUGCAAUCAAGUGUAUUUCUGAAAUGAUUAUUUGAUAUUUGCUUAGUCCACCACAAAACUUUUAAGAUAUAGAUUAAAGGAGCAUGAACUAAACUAUUAGUCUAA